GUGGGGCUUCUGGGAGGUGACUGGAGCACGGGAGUAUAAUACUGGAUUUGUCCACUGAUAGGUUUAUAGCUGGGUGUGAUGUUAGCUGGUGAAGCCUGGUGGAAGAGGUGGCUCAUUGUGUGAGUGGCCUGGAAUGGAAUACAUCCCUCCUCUUCCCUUGAUGGCUGCUGCUUCCCACCUGCCAUGCCCCUCUGCCAUGCUGCCCUACCCUGGAGCCAACUGACUAUGAACUGAAACUUUUACAAACUGUGAGUUAAAAUAAAUCUCUCCUCCUUUAACUUGUGGGUGUUAGGUAUUUUGUCCCAGUAAUGAGCAAGUAACUAAGACAGGCUGUAAGGGACAGUUAGUUCCAUGUCUGCCUCUAAGGUUCUGGUGGCUGCUGCCAGUUCUUGGCAUUCUUUGGUUUACAGAUGGAUCCUGAACUCUGUCUGUUAUCACAUGAUCUUCCCUUGGUGUGUCUGUGUCUGUUUCCAAAUUUCUCUUUCCUUGCUCUUAUAGAGACACCAAUUGUUAGAUUUAGGGCCCAACCUAAACCAGUAUGACCUCAUCUCAACUUGUUUGUAUCUGCAAAGACUUUAUUUCAGAAAAUGUUGAAUUCACCUGUACUGAGCUAUGUGUAUGUAUGUGUGUGUGUUCCUGGAGAUUGAACCCAGGACCUACACACUUAGUUACAUCCCUAGUCCAUCUUUAAUUUUUUUUAAAUUUAAGACAAGAUCUCGCUAAAUUGCCCAAGUUGGUCUCAAAUUUAUAAUCCUCCUGCCUCAGCCUCCCAGAGUGCUGGAAUUACAGGCAUGUGCCACCUUGCCCAGUGAGGGUUAGGUUUUGUACAUAUGUUUUUGGAGGACACAAUCAACUCACUCUAGGACUUUAUCAAAAAGCCCUGACAGAUGUAAGAGGAUGAAGUUAUACCUCCCCUGGUCAUUCUGCACCCAGAGUACCCCAAAGUUUCCAGUUCUCCUGUUUCCCACAACCAGAGUGCAGACUCUCUGACUGCCUGGAUGUCCAGCGUAUUCUGACAGAUUGCUCUGGACUGCCAAGUACUAAUAAGAAGCAAUAACUGAAUCAACAAGUUAUUUUUACAAGAAAUAGAAAACGUGCUGUCAGCACUUCCUGUGAACCAAAGCUCCCUGGAAGGAUACCAAGUUUGAGAGUAAUGACCAGGUCAUCCUGGCUGGUCCAGGCUCUCUCUGGCUCUUGGGAGAGGCACAGGUGGGCUGUGGACCUGGUGUGCCCUUCUCCACCUUUGCAUUGCCUCUGACCAGGGUUAUUAGGCCAGGGUUAUUACAGUGCACCGGCCCAAGGCCCCAGGACACCGGAGGCUCAAAGAUCCUGAGCUGAGGGUCUGUGCUGCUGUGCCUUGGGCAGGGAGAACUUUCUCACUCACUGCUGCAUUAGCUCACAGGGCGUGAGCAGUGCGGGGCUCGGGGAAGGGAAGCCUCUGGCCUGGCCAGGCAGUUUCCCACUGUACCUGGCCCCAGCUCCUGGCCAAGUAACACAGGCUCAUAUAUAUGCUGCUGCCAUUCUUGAAGCCUGGGUCCUGGUGCUUAAAGCCUGAAAAUAAACACCCAUUUCCCUUGAGGGCAUUUGGAUCUAAUCUAUUUGUAUUGUGCAGAUUGUUUGCAUUCCUUCGUGUCUGAACUAGUGAAGGCUGACGUUGGCUUCUCAGUUCUUUUCCUGUUCAGGGAUGGAGUUGCCCCUGAAGCCUGAACUGAGCCUCCAGCAAUCUUAACCAAGCAGAUCAGGCCGCUGGCAGGUGAGGAGAGGAGAUAGUACUGGUGGAGGUUCUUUUAGGGCCUGGGAAAGGAGAGCUUGUGUGGGAGACAUUGAAGAAAAGUCUAUAUGACAAGAUUGCCAUCGUGAUCGAGUUCUAUGUUGUGCUAAUUCACCUGGAAAAUUUUAAAAUACAUUUAUUGUACGUUCUUCUCUUUAGGUUAGAAGGAAAUAACUGGAAUUCAGGUACUGAUGGACUUUCCUUAAUGGUAUGUAUACAUACACAAUGAAUAGCAUGUAGAAUGUAUAUAUAACUACAUAACGUGCCUUAGAUAUCAUAUAAUUACAUAGUGCUCUAUUCUACAAUUACUUUUGAGCAGUAUUUGGAAAACAUAUGAGUACUUUAUACUUUAAAUUCUUAUACAGAUUGUAGAGUCAAGGUUCAAGAUUUCCUCUGGAUCUAGCCUAAGAAGUAAGGCUUCAUUUUCUUCUAAAGGAAGGCUUCUCAACCCUAUCAGACCCAAUAUUCACUUUUUACAAAAAUUUUUUAGUGAUACAGAUUAUGGUUAAUAUUUUUAAAGUCAAAUUUUUAUAGUAGUUUUAAAUUCACAGAAAAAUUGAGUGGAAAGUAGAUGCUUCCCAUACACCCUCUGCAGCCACACAUCCAUAGCUUCCAGCAUCCUAUAUCAACAUUCCCCACUACAGUGGUACCUUGUUGCAACUGAUGAAACUAUACACAUAAUCAUCACACAAAGCCCACAGUUUGCAUUAAAGUUCACUCUGUGUUGUGCACAUAUUUAGACAAGUGUAUAAUGAUGUGUAUCCACCUUUAUGGUAUCAUACAGGGUAUCACUCCCGCCAAAAUACUCUGCCUCUGUCUGUUCAUUCCUCCCUCUCCCGUAGUGCCUGGCAACUACUGAUUUGUUUUCUUAACUGUCUCCAUUGCUUUGCCUUUUCCAUGAUGUCAUAUAGUUAGAACCUUAUAUAAUAUAGCCUUUUUGGAUUGGCUUCUUUCACUUAGUAAUAUGUGUUUUAGUUUCCUUUAUGUGUUUUUAUGGUUCCAUAGUUCAGUUCUUUUUAGUGCUGAAUAAUAUUCCAUGCCAAGAUGUGCUGCAGUGUAUUUAUCCACUCACUUAUUGAAGGAUAUCUUGGUUGCAUGCAUGAUUUGGAAAUUAUAAGUAAAAUUGGUAUAAACAGCCACGUGCAGGUUUUUGUGUGCACUAAAGAUUUUGACUCAUUUUGACUACUACAAGGAGCAGGACUGUAUGGUAAGAGCAUGGUUAGUUUUUAUAAAAACUGUCAAACUCUUCCAAAGUGGCUGUAUCAUUUUGCAUUGCCAGCAGCACUGAGAAUUCCUCUUGCUCCACAUCUUUGCCAGCGUUUAGUGUCCUCGGUGUUCUGGGAUUUGGCCAUUCUAAUAGGUGUGUAGUGGUGUCUUGCUGUUGCCUUAAUUUGCUUUAAUUUGCAUAUCCUUGAUGACAUAGGAUGUGGGAUAUCUUCUCCUAUUCUUGUCUACUACAAAGCAAGUAUUCUUGUAAUAGCUCCUUAAAUAUUCUGAAAGGCAAUUUGUAUUUAAUAUCGUUUACUUACAAUACAAUUUUGCUCAGAAAGUUGAUACAGUGCACUAUCUAAAAUAUAAAUAAGAAAUAAAAGGAAGAUGAUUAACAAUGACAUAAUAUAGGAGGAGACAUACGCUUGUCCUUAUGUGUAGAAUCACUAUGAAAGUGACAACCCCAAAUGAACACUGAUACAGGUGUCUCAGGUUGGCAGUAAAAUGUCCCAAAUCAGCAAUGGGAUUUUUGGAGAUGGCAAACAAGUUCUGGUUAAAGCAAGUUACACAAAGUAUAAUUUUCCUUUUUAUGCAUUAUAGAUGUGUCCACAGAUAUUCAAUGUAUACUAAAGUCAUGCAAAAGAUCCAGUACAUUGUAUUUAUAAGUAAAUGAAGACAAGUCCUAGGCUUUAAUAUUAUAAAUAGGGUACUUAGUUUGCUUUUCUUGCAUAAGUAUCUGAUGUAAUGUUAAUAUUUGGCAUACCAACAGUGCUGCCCAAAUAUUGUGGUAAAUACUGCAUGAGAUGCUGGGGAUCAAAGCCAAGACCUCAUACAUGCUUGGGCUCAGGAUGCAUGUGAUGACACUUCACGUUACGAAAUAGAAAACCAAGUGACUCUGUUUCAUGAUCCAUAAACCCCCUAACAAAAUCCCUCAGACACCAGGGAAAAAGCCGCCUUUGUGGUUCUAUUUUUAAUCUCUCUAUUUUUUAAUUCUCCUCAUUUCACCUUUAAAACUUCUCCUUGCUUCAAAUUUUUGAAUAUGCUCAAUUUACAAUGGCACUUGUAUUGCUAUUGCAAUGCCCUGCUAUUCCUAAAUAAAUAUAAUUAAUCCUUAGAGAA
ensembl:lncRNA